AGCUUUGCGCAGUGGCAGUAUCAUAGCCAAUGAGGUUUAUCUGAGGCGCUAUUAUUGCUAAUUGAAAAAACUUCCAGGACAAACAAAAACUAAAGGAAUUUGCAAAAAUGAAACCAGCCCUGCAAGAAAUCUUGAAAGGGGUCCUCU